rnacentral:rRNA from 1 species
ACGCUAGCUACAGGCUUAACACAUGCAAGUCGAGGGGAAACGGCAUUGAGUGCUUGCACUCUUUGGACGUCGACCGGCGCACGGGUGAGUAACGCGUAUCCAACCUUCCCAUUACUGUGGGAUAACCUGCCGAAAGGCAGACUAAUACCGCAUAGUCUUCGAUGACGGCAUCAGAUUUGAAGUAAAGAUUUAUCGGUAAUGGAUGGGGAUGCGUCUGAUUAGCUUGUUGGCGGGGUAACGGCCCACCAAGGCGACGAUCAGUAGGGGUUCUGAGAGGAAGGUCCCCCACAUUGGAACUGAGACACGGUCCAAACUCCUACGGGAGGCAGCAGUGAGGAAUAUUGGUCAAUGGACGGAAGUCUGAACCAGCCAAGUAGCGUGCAGGAUGACGGCCCUAUGGGUUGUAAACUGCUUUUGUAUGGGGAUAAAGUUAGGGACGUGUCCCUAUUUGCAGGUACCAUACGAAUAAGGACCGGCUAAUUCCGUGCCAGCAGCCGCGGUAAUACGGAAGGUCCAGGCGUUAUCCGGAUUUAUUGGGUUUAAAGGGAGCGUAGGCUGGAGAUUAAGUGUGUUGUGAAAUGUAGACGCUCAACGUCUGAAUUGCAGCGCAUACUGGUUUCCCUGAGUACGCACAACGUUGGCGGAAUUCGUCGUGUAGCGGUGAAAUGCUUAGAUAUGACGAAGAACUCCGAUUGCGAAGGCAGCUGACGGGAGCGCAACUGACGCUUAAGCUCGAAGGUGCGGGUAUCAAACAGGAUUAGAUACCCUGGUAGUCCGCACAGUAAACGAUGGAUGCCCGCUGUUGGUACCUGGUAUCAGCGGCUAAGCGAAAGCAUUAAGCAUCCCACCUGGGGAGUACGCCGGCAACGGUGAAACUCAAAGGAAUUGACGGGGGCCCGCACAAGCGGAGGAAC